rnacentral:tRNA from 1 species
AAGAAAGUGGCAGAGUGGUUAUGCAGUUGGCUUGAAACCAGCAUAUGGGGGUUCAAUUCCUUCCUUUCUCG